GAUGAACGCUAGCGGCAGGCCUAACACAUGCAAGUCGAGGGGUAACUAGAGUGAUAGCAAUAUUACUUUGGCUAGACCGGCGCACGGGUGCGUAACACGUAUGCAACCUACCUUAUACUGGGGAAUAACUUCGAGAAAUCGGCGCUAAUACCCCAUAACACUGCGGAGAGGCAUCUCUUUGCAGUUAAAGCUCCGGCGGUAUAAGAUGGGCAUGCGUCCAAUUAGCUAGUUGGUGAGGUAACGGCUCACCAAGGCUACGAUUGGUAGGGGUUCUGAGAGGAUGGUCCCCCACACUUGUACUGAAACACGGACCAGACUCUUACGGGAGGCAGCAGUGAGGAAUAUUGCGCAAUGGACGAAAGUCUGACGCAGCCAUGCCGCGUGCAGGAUGACGGCCCUAUGGGUUGUAAACUGCUUUUGUACAGAACGAAAAGGUUUCUACUAAUACUAGGAGCUCAUGACGGUACUGUAAGAAUAAGCACCGGCUAACUACGUGCCAGCAGCCGCAGUAA
rnacentral:rRNA from 1 species